UACGGGGGGGGCAAGCGUUGUUCGGAAUUACUGGGCGUAAAGGGCUCGUAGGUGGCCAACUAAGUCAGACGUGAAAUCCCUCGGCUUAACCUGGGAACUGCAUCCGAUACUGGAUGGCUUGAAUUCGGGAGAGGGAUGCAGAAUUCCAGGUGUAGCGGUGAAAUGCGUAGAUAUCUGGAGGAAUACCGGUGGCGAAGGCGGCAUCCUGGACCGACAUUGACGCUGAACGGCGAAAGCUAGGGGAGCAAACGGG
rnacentral:rRNA from 1 species